GGGGUUAUAGCUCAAUGGGAGAGCACUUGCCUACCAUGCACGAGGCCCUGGGUUCAAUCCCUAAUGCUG
rnacentral:tRNA from 1 species